GUAAAUAUCGGACUUCUCAGAUAAUUCUGGCUCCACAGAGACCCGUUGUGUAAUAUCGGUGCCGACUGACGCAAGAGCUGCCCUAUAUAUCACUCGCGUGUCGCUCGCUGAAGCUGUUUCAUGUCUGCGGCUUUAUACCAGACGGGCAGUUGGUAUAGCUGCUGCAGUGGAAAUGGCUCCGUACGACAUGCAUGGGCUAGAAGGCAGGCAGGCGGCUGCGUGGAAAAGCAGGGUCAUUGGGGAACAUGGCGUGCAGCGAACAGAUGUGCCCAAAUUAUAUAGUCCCUUCCCCAGACAAUGAUAUCUUACAUUAAAAAACAAGUACAUCAUGUCCAGUUGCUAAAAUGUAAGACGACGGCAAC